rnacentral:rRNA from 1 species
UGGGGAAUUUUGGACAAUGGGCGAAAGCCUGAUCCAGCAAUGCCGCGUGUGUGAAGAAGGCCUUCGGGUUGUAAAGCACUUUUGUCCGGAAAGAAAUCCUUGGCUCUAAUACAGUCGGGGGAUGACGGUACCGGAAGAAUAAGCACCGGCUAACUACGUGCCAGCAGCCGCGGUAAUACGUAGGGUGCAAGCGUUAAUCGGAAUUACUGGGCGUAAGCGUGCGCAGGCGGUUUGCUAAGACCGAUGUGAAAUCCCCGGGCUCAACCUGGGAACUGCAUUGGUGACUGGCAGGCUAGAGUAUGGCAGAGGGGGUAGAAUUCCACGUGUAGCAGUGAAAUGCGUAGAGAUGUGGAGGAAUACCGAUGGCGAAGGCAGCCCCCUGGGCCAAUACUGACGCUCAUGCACGAAAGCGUGGGGAGCAAACAGGAUUAGAUACCCUGGUAGUCCACGCCCUAAACGAUGUCAACUAGUUGUUGGGGACUUCAUUUCCUUAGUAACGUAGCUAACGCGUGAAGUUGACCGCCUGGGGAGUACGGUCGCAAGAUUAAAACUCAAAUGAAUUGACGGGGUCAUAGCUGUUUCCU